rnacentral:lncRNA from 1 species
GUCUUGAGCAAUUUUUUUCAAUGGGUAGCAUAUGGUAGAUACAUGAUAUACAUUUUUUUAGUUAUUUUUUAAUAAAGAUUUAAAAUCUUAAUAAGGGUUUUGACUUGUCCUAACCAGAAUUCAUCUCUGUUUAACAUAUAAAGUAGUCAUGUAGAAAGAAAUGAGCUUGCCCUUUGUCUUAUAGCAUCAGCAUGGCUUCCUAUGUCCUCCCUGUUCAUUUAUUCACUCACGGAGGCACAGGCUGCUGCAGUGAAGUCAGGCCAGGGAUGCUGCUUCAUUCCUCUUGCUGACAUUGAGCACCUGCUGUGUACAGGCUCCGUGUGAGGUGCCAGAACUGGAACAUAUGCUUGGGCCACUUGUAUCAUCUGUACUUUGUAGAGACCCCACUGGCAAAGCCAGACAAGCAGAAACAUUCUAGAAGCCCUUAACUCUGUAGUUAAGAAACUUACUUGCCCCUUACACCAUAGAUCUUGGAAGUAGGUAAUACAGCAAGUUAUUUAUUAACAUACCUAUGAAACCAAGCAGAAACCUUGAAGAGAAUCUUAUAAUUAAAGGACUUAAGCUUGAGGUGGGGGUGGGGGAAACGGAAACUGCCAGUAGAAUUUUCCAUAUGGAUCAUGCUAUGGAGAAGUGACUUGAGGGUGCUGGGGUAAGUGAGUUAUAUGCCAGUUACCUAGAUGUACAUUUG